UGACACCAGCAUCCAUCAAUUGUCAGUCUAUGGGUAGUAUGGGAAUGAUGUCAGACCAUCUCACAAGCACAUCAAAAAAGGAAUGCAUCUCCCACGUGGUCUCCCCUACUGGCCUCUUCUCUGCAUCGUACUCCACCAUAACCUGAUGCUAGCGGUUUCACACAUACGGCAUGCGUGUAGGACCGCAAAAGAUCCUAUUGGAUGAUGCACCUAUAAUAAAAAUAUA
rnacentral:lncRNA from 1 species